UCCGGUUUGGCACCGGCAGUCUCUCAUGAGUCCCCGACAUGACUCGCUGGCAACAUGAGAUAGGGGUUGCGCUCGUUGCGCCACUUAAGGCAACACCUCACGGCACGAGCUGACGACAGCCAUGCAGCACCUGUGCGGGCUCCCGAAGGAGCACCGUGUUUCCACGGUUUCACCCUGCAUGUCAAGCCCUGGUAAGGUUCUUCGCGUUGCGUCGAAUUAAGCCACAUGCUCCGCCGCUUGUGCGGGUCCCCGUCAAUUCCUUUGGGUUUUAGCCUUGCGGCCGUACUCCCCAGGCGGGGCACUUAAUGCGUUAGCUACGGCACAGGAGGAGUCGACACCUCCCACACCUAGUGCCCAUCGUUUACGGCGUGGACUAC
rnacentral:misc_RNA from 1 species